CCUACGGGAGGCAGCAGUGAGGAAUAUUGGUCAAUGGACGAGAGUCUGAACCAGCCAAGUAGCGUGAAGGAUGACUGCCCUAUGGGUUGUAAACUUCUUUUAUAAAGGAAUAAAACGAGGCCCGUGUGCCUUUUUGUAUGUACUUUAUGAAUAAGGAUCGGCUAACUCCGUGCCAGCAGCCGCGGUAAUACGGAGGAUCCGAGCGUUCUCCGGAUUUAUUGGGUUUAAAGGGAGCGUAGAUGGGUUGUUAAGUCAGUUGUGAAAGUUUGCGGCUCAACCGUAAAAUUGCAAUUGAUACUGGCAGUCUUGAGUACAGUUGAGGUAGGCGGAAUGCGUGGUGUAGCGGUGAAAUGCUUAGAUAGCACGAAGAACUCCGAUUGCGAAGGCAGCUUACUAAACUGCCACUGACAUUGAUGCUCGAAAGUGUGGGUAUCAAACAGGAGUAGAUACCCCUGUAGUC
rnacentral:rRNA from 1 species